rnacentral:rRNA from 1 species
CUUGGUGGUAUAUGCCGCGGGGGUACACCUGUUCCCAUCCCGAACACAGCAGUUAAGCCCGCAAGCGCCGAUGGUAGUCGCAAGGCAAGAGUAGGUAACCGCCAAGA